GUGAGACUCACCGGGUCUCAGAAGGCUGAAAUCAAGGUUGUAAGCAGACAAUCUUAUAUUCAACCUGGAGCUCUAACUGCUGUGAGAUGGGGAGCAUACCUGCUCAGGUAUCUCAUGAUGCAUCAGUUCACUGGCUAAAAGCUACCUUUCCAAUCUAUCUACCAUAUCCUGGAUGCCAGGCUCACAGAACAGCCUUCCCGGAACAGACUCCAGGGCCGCCGCCUCUUGGAGACUGACAAGGCCAUUUGCAUCUUCAAGUCUCUGAGAACUUGCAGUCAAGAAACCAGCUUGAUUUUGUUCCUUUCCUUUAUUUAGCCAAGAAACCCUUUCAGUGAUGCCUGCCCCCCCAACUCUCAAACUUAUAAUAAAAUCAUGGAAAAUG